GUUUUGUUUGUAUUUAUAGAAUACAGGGAAAUAGGAUUGCUAUUAAUAGAAUUCGGGGAAACCUGGGUUUAUUUUCAAUUUCGAAAUCGAAGAAAUAUGACGGACAUAACGCAAGAAAUCGAUUUGCUAAGUGAAGAAAAUGAGAAACUUCGAUAUCAAGUGUUCUGCAAGACCUCGGGUUGCACGGAAGUCGUAUCUGCGGUGUAUGCUCCAUGUGGACACCUCAUCAACUGCUCAAAGUGUGCAAAUGCUCAUAAGUAUUGUCCAUGUUGCCAUACGGAAGUAAAGAAAGUGAUUCAAGUAAACUUGAAAUGACUUGGUAUAAUAUGGUAUGUCCAGCUGAGUCGAAAAGACUAUGUAUAAUAUGAACACUCAAUUAUAGUAUUGUGUGAAACAUUUUACAUAUAGUUGCAUUUUAAGGGAAAUAAAAAUCAGAGAACCAUAUUUGUACAUCUUGAGAUACAAGGAUAAAAAUUGACCGAUUUUAAAUUAUAUAUUAAACCUAUUUGAAAUCUGA